rnacentral:rRNA from 1 species
UACGAAGGGUGCAAGCGUUACUCGGAAUUACUGGGCGUAAAGCGUGCGUAGGUGGUUCGUUAAGUCAGAUGUGAAAGCCCCGGGCUCAACCUGGGAAUUGCAUUUGAUACUGGCGGGCUAGAGUGCGGUAGAGGAGAGUGGAAUUCCCGGUGUAGCAGUGAAAUGCGUAGAGAUCGGGAGGAACAUCAGUUGCGAAGGCGGCUCUCUGGACCAGCACUGACACUGAGGCACGAAAGCGUGGGGAGCAAACAGGAUUAGAAACCCCUGUAGUCC